GUAAAAACUCUAUUAAUCAAAUCAACGUCUAAAGUUAUAAAUUUCAAAAUAAUUUAACGGGCCGUUUUUGAAAAAUGUUGAAAUUUCAAAGAUCAACAGCAAUAAGCCAAAAACCGACACGGAUACAGAUACGAGGAUGCAUAUAACAAUUGGAAGCCAACUGUGUAUAUUCGAUCCGCUACCGGUCGUUGGUGGUGUUGGUUUGUGGUGAAAUUUAUUAUACAGGCCCAAAGAACAUAAUGGAAUAUUCCGGUAAAUGGAGUUAAGUGUGUGUAUUGUGUAUAUUGUGUCUUUCAAGGGUGUACUUGUAGUCGUCCACUUGUUUUGCAUGUUUACUAUCCUUCUUAAGUCUUGCGGAACAUGUUAAAGGAAACACUUUGGAUUUCCUUAGAGAGGACGAAUAUAGAGGGAAUUUAAGGGAAUUUAUUGAUAUGGUAUAGUCGGUGGACCUGUAGCUUCAUGCGUUUACUCACUGACGGAGGUACUCCAUUCGAUGCUAUGCACAUGUAUGCGCCCAUUUCCGAUCGCGUGACUUUUGACAGCGUCAGCAUUUCACCUU